CAAGGAUGAAAUCGAAGAUUCAUUCCAAGCAUGCUUAUCUUGAAGUGUCCCCACCAUGCGGUUCAGGAAUCUGUUUGCAGCAUGCUUAUCUUGAAGUGUCCCCACCAUGCGGUUCAGGAAUCUGUU